rnacentral:rRNA from 1 species
UACAGAGGUCCCAAGCGUUGUUCGGAUUCACUGGGCGUAAAGGGUGCGUAGGCGGUCGGGUAAGUCUGAUGUGAAAUCCCCGGGCUUAACCUGGGAAUGGCAUUUGGGACUGCAAGGCUGGAGUGCGGCAGAGGAGACUGGAAUUCCUGGUGUAGCAGUGAAAUGCGUAGAUAUCAGGAGGAAUACCGAUGGCGAAGGCAGGUCUCUGGGCUGACACUGACGCUCAUGCACGAAAGCGUGGGGAGCAAACAGG